ACUUAAAGCCAUGCCUCCAUUCCUGUAUUUUCCAUUAGUCUUGUCUGUUUGGUUCCAGUGGUCAGCCCCUCAGCCCUGCAAAAGUUAGAAAGGAGUGGGGAGAAGAAAUGGUGCAGGUGGCAACAUCUUAGAGACCUCUAAAGUGGAUCCACAGCCUAGGUGGAGCAUCCUGUUCUACUAAAGGUGUUAGAAACACUUCUAUCCCAUCUCUGUGUCUUUGGGUUGAGCCCAGAAAACUUCAGUGACUUCUGGAAGAGAUGAGAUGAUGAAACUGUACCUGAACAGCAACAUGAAUUCGUAACUUGCUGGCAGCAUGGGCUGUGUUAUAUGUGGUCUGCCUGUUCCUGCUUUACUCAGAGAGUACCAACAGCAAGCCUCAAAUGGCUGCAGAAGUCAGAUUGUGAGAGCUGUCCUGUGGAAGAUAACACAGCAAAUGGAGACCUGUGAAAGAGACAGGGCGUGCAGUAGCCUUCCUUAGAAACUUGAGCCUGAUGCUCUUUUGUGUUUCUGUUGACAUGCUGGGCAGUGGCAUAGUGCUGGGAUUUGCAAAUUAUCUGAAAAGAGGGCUGGUAAUAGGGUGAGUAAUUUUUAAGAGAAAUUGAAACAGAAUAUGGGGAGGAAUAAAUAGAAGGAUACAACACGGAUAGGAAGAAAU
rnacentral:lncRNA from 1 species